rnacentral:rRNA from 1 species
GCCUCCCUCCGCGCCACUCUACGAACGUCCUACGGACGGCGAGCGAGUCGGGGAAGUACGUUGUCACAAUGGGGAAACCGUACGAUGCAGCGACGCCGCGUGAGCGAUGAAGCCUCGGGUGUAAGCUCUUUCGGCAGGGAAGAUUAUGACGGUACCUGCAGAAGCAGCUGCGGCUAACUACGUGCCAGCCGCCGCGGUAAUUC